GUCUAUUAGCUCAACGGUAGAGCAUUCGGCAUUUAACCGAAGGGUUGAAGGUUCGAUUCCUUCAUAGAUACCA
rnacentral:tRNA from 1 species